CUGACGAGGAUGAGAACCUCCGGGGGCAAGAGGUUCGACCCGAGCGAAGCGAGAGAACGUUGCGUCAGCAACGGCCCGCAGGGCGAGCCACGCAGUGGCGAGUCAUCCUCUAUCACCGACAG
rnacentral:sRNA from 1 species